CCGGAUCUAGCUGGGCUGCACUUAACUUCUCCUUGUCCCGACCUCUGCAAACGUCGUAACCUUCAGCAUACACUUUCAGGAUUUCUGCAUUCAAUUCGUUAGAUUUCCGGUAUUCUUCUUGAACUUGCUUACGAAGGUCAUCAGUUAGAGGAGGACCUAAUUCCUUCAGAGCCUUUAGCUUAUCCUGGAGCUUCUGACGCCUAGCCAGAUGCCUCUCCUUGUCUUCACGAG
rnacentral:lncRNA from 1 species